rnacentral:rRNA from 1 species
CCUACGGGAGGCUGUAGUGAGGAAUAUUGGUCAAUGGACGCAACUCUGAACCAGCCAAGUAGCGUGCAGGAUGACUGCCCUAUGGGUUGUAAACUUCUUUUAUAUGGGGAUAAACUGUGUCACGUGUGGCUUUUUGCAUGUACCGUAUGAAUAAGGACCGGCUAAUUCCGUGCCAGCAGCCGCGGUAAUACGGAGGGUCCGAGCGUUAUCCGGAUUUAUUGGGUUUAAAGGGAGCGUAGGCGGAUCGUUAAGUCAGUUGUGAAAGGUCGCGGCUCAACCGUGAAAUUGCAGUGCAAACUGGCAGGCUUGAGUGCAGUAGAGGUGGGCGGAAUUCGUGGUGUAGCGGUGAAAUGCUUAGAUAUCACGAAGAACUCCGAUUGCGAAGGCAGUUCACUGUACUGUAACUGACACUGAGGCUCGAAGGUGUGGGUAUCAAACAGGAUUAGAUACCCCAGUAGUC